rnacentral:rRNA from 1 species
CCUACGGGAGGCAGCAGUGAGGAAUAUUGGUCAAUGGGCGAGAGCCUGAACCAGCCAAGUCGCGUGAAGGAUGACGGCCCUACGGGUUGUAAACUUCUUUUGUCAGGGAGCAAUUGAGUCCACGUGUGGUCUUAGCGAGAGUACCUGAAGAAAAAGCAUCGGCUAACUCCGUGCCAGCAUCCGCGGUAAUACGGGGGAUGCGAGCGUUAUCCGGAUUUAGUGGGUUUAAGGGGUGCGGAGUGGGAAUAUCAAGUCAGCGGUAAAAAUUCGGGGCUCAACCCCGUCGUGCCGUUGAAACUGAUGUUCUUGAGUGGGCGAGAAGUAUGCGGAAUGCGUGGUGUAGCGGUGAAAUGCAUAGAUAUCACGCAGAACUCCGAUUGCGAAGGCAGCAUACCGGCGCCCAACUGACGCUGAAGCACGAAAGCGUGGGUAUCGAACAGGAGUAGAUACCCUUGUAGUC